GCGGAAGAAUUCUGCGGAACGAAAAGGAAACGACUUUAUCACAGGGUCAAGCAUGUUCCUGGUUGUUACAGAUCACCAUCUCUCUCCUGUGAUGCGCGUGUUUGACGGCCCUGAUGGCUCCACCGGCCCCCGCGAGUUCCUUUGCGAGGUGCAGGGUGCUGGUUCGGGCUGGAGUGAUCCAUUUUGGGUGAUAGAGCAAGAGGGACAAAAGACUGAUGUCCGACAACAGACACAGAGCAGACUAAAUGAGGUCGGAGAAUUCCUCCGAUGGACGGAGCUUUCGCUGCCACUCAUGGAGAACUCCAUGCGUAAAAUUAUUUGCGUGUGUCUCCAUGGCACCGGAGAUAUCGUCCAAGUUACUGUAAUGGAUGGUGAGGGUGCGUCGGUGUCCUCAUGUGAUUUGCUGCUUGUCUUUGUUCCUCUCUGCGUCUUGAUCUCUCUGCUCACUGUGAUGCUCACGGGGCGCGGGAUACAUCGGGCAUGCAGUCAAUGAGACACGCAGUAUGUCCAUCGUCAACAGGUGAAGAACUUCGCCUAGAAGUUGGAGCACUAUUACGGACACUGGAAGUGUUUUGACUUGACUUCAACUAAAAAGGAUAUAGCCUACUGUAUAGGCUACAUUAACACCACUAUGACUGUGUUUUUAUACGCAGACCUUGAGUAAAGGCCUGGCAGCUAGUAGUCUUAUUGGUUUAAAAACGGCUUCACUUUGACUUAAUCAGUACUUACAUGUUAAUGUCAGGACAACUAUAAAACUGCCUGUAAAACAGCAUGUAGACCAUUGGUACAAUGUCUUGUUGUUGUGAAUAGUUAAUAGAAAUUAACCUGAUCUUCAUA